rnacentral:lncRNA from 1 species
UUGGCCGAGGCAAUUCGAAUCUCGGACAAAGUUGCCGCAAGGUCCACGAACACAAACUCGAGCAAGGUCUGUAGGAACCAAUGUAGGAUCUUCUUAGCAGCGGUCGACCAUGUCGGAGACUACCUCAAGCGAAUCCAGGAUCUCAACUUCGCGAGCACUGGGACAGCUUUCGUGUGGGACGAAACCGUGGCUGUCCUUAAGAGAGGCCUCCAUCUCCUCAAGUCGUGCCAAGAAGGCAAUUGGAUCGCGCGGAGCCUGCUGUUCAAGGAAAGCUGCGAUGAGUUCCAGAGCAUUUAUACCGUCCACCUCGGUAAGAUCCAAGAUUGCCGAAGCUUACAACUCGUGCCUCAUGAGGCAAAACUCGAACAGCAUGCUGGAAGAAGCCGGAAGGAAUGACAGGAAGGCGCUCAUGGCUCUCGCAAUGAGCCAAGAGCCGGGAAGCCUGACGACCGAGAGCGAGCAAGCCAAAGAGAUACUUUGCUCCAUGCUCCUGGGAAACAAGUCAGUGAUUAACCACAAGGAACUCAAGCUGACAACACACCUGGGACAAGGCGGUUUCGGAACCGUGUACGAAGCAAUCUGGCUCGGUCACAAGUUUGCAGUGAAAGUCUUCCCUCAAGGUGACAAGAGCUUCGCCAAAGAGCUCGCGGUUCUCGAAGCGGACAAGCAUCCCAACGUGUUGCACAUCGCCGGUCAUUCUUUCGAUGAAGAGAAGCAGCGGUACUCGCUGGUGAUGGAGAAGAUGGACAUGGACCUGGCAAACUACGUCCUCAAGAAGAACUCUCUCCCGUUGCUGUCGAUCGUGGCAGUGAUGCUCCAAGUUGCUACUGGCAUGGCGUGGCUUCACUCGAAGAAUAUAAUCCACCGGGACCUCAAGCCGCAGAACAUCUUGGUUGGCGAAGAAGACAACGAUCUCGUGAGUAUCAGGAUUGCCGACUUUGGAGUCUCGAGGCCAAACUUCAUCUCCUCCCAGAUCGAAGCCGUUAGCAUCCAAGGCACCAGGAACUUCAUGGCACCGGAGGCGUGGAGCAGCGAGCGCUACACGAAAAAGGCCGACGUUUACAGCUACGGGAUGCUGAUUUACCAGCUUGUCACUGGAAACGUUCCGUUCGAGGACGGGAUGGACAUGGAGCAAGUCCUUCGAGGCAAGCGUCCUGAGAUACCAGCCACCUGUCCAGAGUUCCUGUCGCAGCUCAUGCGGGAAUGCUGGAGCCACGAUGCGAAAGAGAGGCCUUCCUUCUCGGAUAUCUGCGAGCGGCUGAAGCAGCUCAAGACCAGGAUCAUCACUGGCAUCGAGUCCAUCGACGAGUUACGGGUCAAGUUGGUUGAAGUAGCCGGGUCGUCUUCCUCUUCUUCGUACUCGUCGUCUUCCUCAUCCUCGUCGCACAGCAGGACUCGAGUGAACCUGGAUUCUCUUGUCCAAGCGACUGAAGGGCUUUGGACCAAAAAUCCUCCAUCUCCCCUUGUACAGGUAAACUCUUUUGUUUUUAGUAACUUCCGGUGCUCAUCGUGUUUAGUUUCAGCCGGUACCACACCGUCCUCAGCACUUCGCACCAGUAGCAAAACCGGAUAACAGGACCGAGCUCUUCGAACUGGUGAAGAACGGCCUCGUCAGAAACGCCUUCGAGAAAGCUCUGUCCCUGAACGAUCCUUCCAUGGUCUGGUGGCUUUGCACCAAGGUAAUCCAUUCACGUCCUCCAGCUGCUCAUCAAAGCUUUGUCAGCUCAGGUGGAGCAUACCGUCCUGCUUGUCUUCAGUGAAUCAAUGCUCAUGGAACUGGCCGAGCAAAUCAACACCAACUUCAAGGAAGACACUGCUCGCAGGUUGCUCUGGAUCGACGAGAUUGGCAUCUUGCUGUUCAAAGACGUCAAUGGACAGGCAUGGUCAUCACCUCGGGUGCUGAGGAUCUUGGAGCAGCUUUCACAGAACUUCCACGGCAUGAUGGCUAUAACACCGCCAAAGAGCGAGCUGGGGAUGAAGCUGGUGAACAUGCUGGGUGGCACCAACAUGGGUCUCCAGGUUCGUAUGAAGCUCUUCGUGUUAUUCAUUUGAUUCAAAUCGUUUGUUGUCGCAGCAUAUCUGUUAGGCACCAGCUUUGACUACGUGGUCAACAUCGGUCAAAGGGUAUAUGAAGGCAUGUUAGGGUAAGGGACUUAACUUACCCUAGGGCUCACAGUGGAGUGGUGGUGCAGUGGAACUUUUGAGGUAGCUCAGGGGUGGUUGGGUGGUGAGGAACCUCAAGAGGUGGCAUAGCAUAAUCUAGGGCAACUAGAUUUUUGUCUUUUUGCGCCGGAUCAUAACAUUGGUAUCAGAGAAGUUGGUUGCGAUGGCCGACCAAGCUGAACGCUGGAAUCCUAUUGUCGAUGGUGGUGCCAACAAUGGUGCUGACGAAGCUGCAGAGAUUUAGACCAUUCAAGAUGUGGUUCAUGAGCUGCGAGCCCUUAACCGAAAUCAGUAAGAGAUGCAAGAUGAGAUGCAUGGCAUGAUGGAUACCAUGCGUGGGCGUGUUGAGGCACUCGAGGCUGGACGGGGUAGCGCUCCAAGUAAACCUUCUUUGGUAGAUCGACUCAAAAUUCCAAAUUUUUCCGGUGAUGGUGGUGUGGACGAGUGUCUCGCUUGGCUAGCCAAUGUGAAGAAGUUCUUGGCUGCUAGAGGAACUCCAGAUGCAGAGGCUUUAGUGGCUAUUCCGAUGGUUUUGCGUGAUGCGGGUUUUCGAUGGUGGAAUUGGCUUGAGGAGUCCCGUGUUGUGGAUAAGAAACCACCAGUGUCUACCAUGGAUGAGUUUGAGGUUGCUUUUCAUUUAUGUUUUGCCCCUCAUUACGACAUGGAGAAUGCUCGUACAGAACUUUGACAUUUUCAGCAAAGGAAAAUGAUGCUCGGGGACUAUAUUGAGAAGCUUACUUGCUUGAUUAGUCGUGUUCCAACGAAGGAUCCAGAUCAGAACAAGUCCUACUUCAUUGAUGGCCUACAUAGUGAGAGCAUGCGGCAACACUUGCGUCAUUCUCAGCCUACAAAGAGUUUGAAGGAGCUCUUUGAUGUGGCUCGUCGACUUGACAAUGAUAAGCACAAGUCUCGCAAGCGUUUGCGGAGUCCUUCUGUCGAGAAUCGUCGUGAUGAUCACCAUGGACACAAGGAUGGGAACAAGCAUCACAAAUUGAAGUCAGUGGUGACUACUUCGGAUGCAAAGGGGUCCAAGAAGUAGAAGUUCUUUGUGAAGAAUUAUAGACAAGGUUGUCAUCAUUGCGGCGAACUUGGACANNNNNNNNNNNNNNNNNNNNNNNNNNNNNNNNNNNNNNNNNNNNNNNNNNNNNNNNNNNNNNNNNNNNNNNNNNNNNNNNNNNNNNNNNNNNNNNNNNNNNNNNNNNNNNNNNNNNNNNNNNNNNNNNNNNNNNNNNNNNNNNNNNNNNNNNNNNNNNNNNNNNNNNNNNNNNNNNNNNNNNNNNNNNNNNNNNNNNNNNNNNNNNNNNNNNNNNNNNNNNNNNNNNNNNNNNNNNNNNNNNNNNNNNNNNNNNNNNNNNNNNNNNNNNNNNNNNNNNNNNNNNNNNNNNNNNNNNNNNNNNNNNNNNNNNNNNNNNNNNNNNNNNNNNNNNNNNNNNNNNNNNNNNNNNNNNNNNNNNNNNNNNNNNNNNNNNNNNNNNNNNNNNNNNCUUGUGUCGAGGGGCUGGAAGUGUUGGUUGGCAAAACCACACUUGUGGAGACUUUUUAUCUCACGGAUAUCCAUCGUGUGGAUCUCAUUCUUGGGAUGCCAUGGUUGGCAAAGGUGGAUCCAGAGAUAAAGUGGAGCAUUAAGCGUAUCUCGCUGGAGUAUGGUGGCGUUAAAGAUGUGUGGUUUGGCGAGGGCGUUCAACCACCAGUUGUUAUGCUCUCUGCUACAUCUUUGAAACGGGCUUGUCAUAAUAAAAAAGCACUUUCAAGUUACUUGCUGUUUGUUCGUGACUUGGGGGACCAAGGCACGUGUGGGGGAGAAGCAGCAGUACAGGAUAUAUUUGACGAGUUUUCUGAUGUUUUUCCAUAUGAACUUCCUCAUGGAUUACCUCCGUUACGAGGUGUGGAGCAUGGGAUUACAUUGGAGUCGGGGAUGCGGCCAAUUUACCAGUGUCCAUUUUGGUUAAGUUAUGCGCAGGAGCAAGAAGUUCAACGACAAGUCAAGGAGUUACUUGAGUUUGGAUUUAUUCAGCCAAGUAAGUCUCCGUUUGGUGCUCCAGUCUUGCUUGUGAAGAAGAAAGACGGUUCAAUGCGGUGAAGGACAAGAUUUACCGUGCUUUAAACAAGAAGACAGUGAAGGACAAGAUGCCGAUGCCACGUGUGGAUGAUAUCCUGGACAAGCUUGGUGAAGCACGAGUGUUUACUAAGAUUGAUCUGAGGAGUGGAUAUCAUCAGAUUGCAAUGGAUGAUGCAUCUAUCUCCAAGACGGCAUUCAACACAAGUUUCGGACAUUUUGAGUUUACCGUUAUGCCGUUUGGUUUGACGAAUGCACUGGCCACAUUUACUCAGUUGAUGACGGAGGUAUUUGGGCGUUAUCUUCAUGAGUUUGUGAAGAUUUUCUUGGACGAUAUUCUUGUUUUUAGCAAGAAUAUGGAGGAGCAUAGGGUGCAUUUGCGCAAGGUUCUUUUGUUACUUUGAGAUAGCAAACUUUAUGCGAAGAAGAGCAAAUGUGAAUUUGCAAAGUCGGAGGUGGAAUAUCUAGGCCAUAUUGUGACAUCUAAGGGUGUCAAGACAGAUCCAGGAAGGUGGCUAUGGUGGAAAACUGGCCUACACUGACUACAGUGGCCGAGUUGUGCAGUUUUCUUGGUAUGGCUAGUUACUACCGACGUUUCCAGCAUAAGUUUGCAGAGGUGGCUAUUCCUUUGACGUGGUUGUUACGCAAGAAUGUGCCAUUCGAGUGGAAGAAGCCACAAGAGGAGAGUUUUGUAGCGCUGAAAUGAUUGUUGAGCGAGGCUCUAGUGCUUCGCAUUGCUGAUCCAUUGAAACCUUACGAGGUGACAUGCGAUGUGAGUGGUUAUGCACUGGGAGGAGUUUUUAUGCAAGAGGGACAGCCUAUUGCAUGUGAGAGUCGAACUUUGAAUUCCGCAAAGCAAUGUUAUUCCACAUAUGAGCAAGAGUUACUCUCUAUUGUUCAUGCUUUGUAGACGUGGCGGCACUAUCUUUAUGGUGCAGUGUUCGUGGUGUUGACAGAUCACAAACCACUUGUGUAUCUUUUCACACAGAAGGAGUUGAACACUAGACAAGCUCGUUGGAUGGUCAAACUCAUGGAGUUUGGGGAGUUUCCUAUUGAGCAUUGUCCGGGAAAAUCCAAUGUGGUGGCAGAUGCUUUAUCUCGUGUUCGUCAUAUGACGACAUUACAAACACGAUUUUGUCAUCAUUUGAGUAAGGUGGUCAGUGGGUUUGGACAGUUGGUUGAGCAUGCUCAGGCUCAGGAUGCUGAGGUGGCCUCUUUGCGUGACCAGAUGGAAGCUCCUUUCUCAUUGGUGGAUGGGAUUCUCUAUUACAAUGGCCGUGUAUAUUUGCCACGGGUGGAUGCGUUAAUUACUCAAGUUUUAUUCCACUAUCAUGAUCGUCCAGAGGCCGGUCAUUUUGGGGGGAAGAAGACGUAUAAAUUGAUUAAGCGCAACUUUUAUUGGAGGAAUAUGAAGGUUGAUAUCCUCAAGUAUUGUAAAUCAUGCGAGCUUUGUCAGCGGGUUAAGGUGCCACGAGAGAAGCCGGGGGGACUUUUGCAACCUUUACCUAUUCCUCAGAGCCGUUGGUGUAGUAUCUCUAUGGACUUCAUCACUUGUUUGCCACGAACACAGAGGCAAAAGGAGCAAGUAUGGGUUAUAGUGGAUCGGUUGACAAAGUAUGUGCGGUUGUUGGCUCUUCGGAAGAUUGUCACUGCCUCAGACUUGGCUGCGGUUUACUUGGAGAAGGUUUUUCCUGAUUUUGGUUUGCCAGAGGACAUCAUUAGUGAUCGAGAUUCAAAGUUCACCAGUGGAUUUUGGAAAAGCUUUGCAAAGGUUAUACAAGUGACUUUGAAACUCUCGAGUGGAGAUCAUCCUUAGACGGAUGGGCAAACCGAGCGUGUAAAUCAAAUGGUGGAGGAUAUGCUACAUUGUAGCAUUGGUCAAAGGCAAGGACAGUGGGAUUUUUAUCUUCCGUUGGUGCAAUUUGCUUACAACAAUAGCCAACACAGUGGAACCAAGCUAAGUCCUUACUUUGCCAUGUUUGGAAGGCAUCCUCAAAUAGUAGUGGAGUUGGGAUUGCAUUUGAGUAAAGACAUUCAAGAUAAGCUUGAUUCCAAGGCAACUGAUCUGGCCACAGAACUUGAUGAGAUCUUGGUGGUGUGCAAACAAAAUUUGCAAGCAGCUCAGGAUAGAGCGGAGAAGUUUGCCAAUGAGCAUCACCAAUUCCAGGAAUAUAAGGUGGGUGGUCUGAUCUUUGUACGCGUGAUCUUUCCGUCAAGUGAGCGGUAGAACACCUUGGUGCCUUUACGGACAGGGAAGAGUGAUAAACUUUCCCAUCGAUAUGCUAGUCCAUAUGAAGUGCUGGAGCACUUUGGUAAAGCGGCUUAUCGGGUGUGGCUGCUAGCUGGGGUGAAAAUUCAUCCGGUAUUUUAUGUCAGCCAGUUGAAAGGUGUACUAUUUCGGAGUGACGGGCCCAAUGCCUCCUUGAUGUAUACAGCUGUGGAAGAUGGACCAGAAGCUUGAGUAGGAUUCCCUAGAAAGGGUGAUCACAAAUUCAACUCGUCCUUGGGACAAGGACUUUGUUGGGGGGGAAGAAUUGUUAGGCGCCAGCUUUGACUACGUGGUCAACGUCAGUCAAAAGGGGGCUCAAGGGUAUAUGAAGGCAUGUUAAGGUAAGGGACUUAACCUACCCUAGGGCUCACAGUGGAGUGGCGGCGCAAUGGAGCUUUUGAGGUAGUUUGGGGGUGGUUGGGUGGUGAGGUGGUGUAGCAUAAUCUAGGGCAACUAGAUUUUUGUCUUUUUGCGCCGGAUCAUAACAGUAUCUGAGUUGCAGUUGACAGCAAAGUUCAACACAUGAGAGUCCUUGGAGGAUACUUUCCAGUGGAACACCGGUAGUUUCGGAGUAUUUCGAUGUUCUAAUUUCCUGCCUGCCAAAAGCAUCAACCAUGCUUCAUGAAAGAACCAUAAAGAACUUACCAAUUCCCGUUCUGAACUUUGAGUAAACACCUAUCAUCGUUUCAUCCUGCGACAAAUAUCCAAGAACAAAGCUCUCACCAUUCUUUAGUUUUAAACUUGAGUAGACGGGUGAAGAUCCCAACCUUUUCGAUCUAGCAGCAGCAGUAGCAAGCAGCCUUGGCAGCUCCCGCAGCAGCGUAGACACCAGUAAUUCUCGUCGCCACAGCAUCGAGGAUCAUUGCUCUCCGCUCAAAGAACGACUUUGCCACUUUCAGCUUCUCGGAUCCCCAUAGGCUUGUAGACGAUCCCGGCAGCUAGCCGCUGCUUCAUGACCUUGGCUGGACGAACGUAAGCAUCGCCCAGCUUGGCCUUCAAUCUCUUUGGCACCUGAAAAUCCGAUCGACCACCACCACCGCCCCCCGCUUUGUUGCGCUUGCCCGGAUUCUUGGAGCCGGUGCUCUCGCCGUGCAAGGACGAAGAAUUUGCUGGAGCCACACCAGCAAGCGCCUUGUCUUGCUCUUUGAUCCCUUCCUUCUUGGUGUGCUCGGACCAGAGAUCGCGCGAUGCGAACAAUGCUGAGUACGUGGGGCUCUUCUUGGCGUAGAGGAAGGGAUUGGGAGAGAUCCACCUCGUGGAUGUAGAGGCGCAACGAGCGAGCUCCACUGCAAGAAUAUCGAUAUCGAGGAUGACAAGAAAAGCCAUUUCUUAUGCCUGAUUAAAGUAUAAUUCCCAGACAAGACUUAGGAUUUAUAAUUACUCAAAAGAAAAGUCCACGGUAGACUUUUCCCACGCUGCAAAGCAAUGGAGCGGCGCUAGUGGUGAUCACCGACGAGCAUGGCAGCAGCGAAUUUGCUCGAGGCGAUUCGAAUCGCGGACAAGGUUGGCACAAGAUCCACGAACACAAACUCGAGCAAGGUCUGUAGAAACCAAUGUAGGAUCCUCAUCGCGGCGGUCGGCUAUGUCCGAGACUAUCUCAAGCAAAUCCAGGAUCUCAACUUCGCGAGCAACAGGCGAGCCUUCGUAUGGGACGAAACCGUGGCUGUCCUUAAAAGAGGCCUCCAUCUCCUCAAGUCAUGCCAAGAGGGCGAUUGGAUCGCUCGGAGCCUGCUGUUUGAGGAAAGCUGCGAUGAUUUCCAGAGCAUUUACGCCGAGAUCUACAACUGCGUCGAGCUCGUCAGCGUCUAUCUCUUUCAGCUGGCACCGUCCACCUCGCACAGAUCCAGGAUUGCCGAGGCUUACAACUCGUGCCUCAUGAGGCAGAAUUCGAGCAGCAUGCUGGAAGAAGCCGGAAGGAACGAUCGGAAGGAGCUCAUGGCUCUCGCAAUGAACCAAGAGCCGGGAAGCCUGACGACCGAGACAGAACGAGCCAAAGAGAUACUCUGCUCCAUGCUCCUGGGAAACAAGUCAGUGAUCAACCACAAGGAACUCAAGCUGAGAACACACCUGGGACAAGGAGCUUACGGAACCGUGUACGAAGCAAUCUGGCUCGGUCACAAGUUCGCGGUGAAAGUCUUCGCUCAAGGUGACACCAGCUUCGCCAAAGAGCUCGCGGUUCUCGGAGCUCACAAGCAUCCCAACGUGUUGCACAUUGCCGGCCAUUCUUUCGAUGGAGAGAAGCGGCAGUACUCGCUGGUGAUGGAGAAGAUGGACAUGGACCUGGCAAACUACCUCCUCAAGAAGAACUCCCUCUCGUUGCUGUCGAUCGUGGCAGUGAUGCUCCAAGUCGCUACUGGCAUGGCUUGGCUUCACUCGAAGAACGUAAUCCACCGGGACCUCAAGCCGCAGAACAUCUUGGUUGGCGAAGAAGACAACGAUCUCGUGAGUAUCAGGAUUGCCGACUUUGGAGUCUCGAGGCCCGAUUUCAUCUCCUCCCUCAUCAGCGAAGCCACCCCCAAGCAAGGCACCAGAAACUUCAUGGCACCAGAAGUGUGGACCAGCGAGCGCUACACGAAGAAGGCCGACGUUUACAGCUACGGGAUGCUGAGCUACCAGCUUGUCACUGGAAACAUUCCGUUCAAGGUCGGGAUGGACAUGGAGCAAGUCCUUCGAGGCAAGCGUCCUGAGAUACCAGCCACCUGUCCAGAGUUCCUGUCGCAGCUCAUGCGGGAAUGCUGGAACCACGAUGCGAAAGAGAGGCCUUCCUUCUCGGAUAUCUGCGAGCGGCUGAAGCAGCUCAAAUCCAGGAUCAUCACUGGCACCGACUCCACCGACGAGCUACGAGCCAAGUUGGUUGAAGCAGCCAGGUCAUCUUCCUCUUCUUCGUACUCGUCGUCUUCCUCGUCCUCGUCGCACAGCAGGACUCGAGUAAACCUGGAUUCUCUUGUCCAAGCGACUGAGAAGCUUUGGACCCAAAAUCCCCCGCCUUCCCGUGUCCAGGUAAACUCUUUUGCUUUAUGUAACUUCUGGAGCUCACCACCUUUGGGUUCAGCCGGUACCACACCGUCCUCACCACGUCGCACCAUUACCAAAACCAGAUAAAAGGACCGAGCUCUUCGAACUGGUAAAGAACGGCCUCAUCAUAAACGCCUUCGAGAAAGCUCUGUCCCUGAACGAUCCUUCCACAGUCUGGUGGCUUUGCACCAAGGUAAUCUGUUUACGCUCUCUGGCCGCUGAUCACGCCCGUCUUUUGUCAACUCAGGUAGAGCAUACCGUGCUGCUUGUCUUCAGUGAAUCGAUGCUCAUGGCACUGGCCGAGAAAAUCAACACCAACUUCACGGAAGACACUGCUCGCAGGCUGGUCUGGAUCGACGGGAUUGGCGGCUUGCUGUUGAAAGACGCCAAUGGAUGGGCAUCACCUCGGAAGAUGAGGAUCCUGGAGCAGCUUUCACAGAACCUCCACGGUAUGAUGGCCAUAACACCACCAAAGAGUGAGCUGCGCAUGACCUUGACGAACAUGCUGGAAGGCACCAACAUGUGGCUGCAGGUUCGUACAUAUGAAGCUCUUCGUUUCUUUCGUUUCCAUCUCCUUGAUUCACAUCGUUUUGUUGCAGCGUGUCCGGGUUGCAGUGGAAAACAAAGUUCGAUACAUGAGCAUCGCUGGCGGAUACUUUCCAGCGGAACACCGGUAGUUUCCCUGGCAUAAAACAUGCUUCACCUUACCCUGUACCGCUUAUCUCCUGCCAGCAAAACUUACGAGAAAAAGAAUGAGCUCACCUGUUUUCUACAGCCGUGACCUCUGGCAAGCUGAAGAUCUUGCUCUCCGAGUGAAAUCGCUUGCUCGCUCGCCCAAACCCUAAUUUCGCUCAGUUAAUGUUUUCUUGAAUUCUCACAUUACACAUAUUAGGAGCCCAACAGAAGGGUGAAUCAGUGUAUUAUGCGAUAAAUUGCCUCUCUAUUUAGUUCUGGUCAAGUAGAACAAUCAACAUCAUCAUUGUCUUUUACCAUGUUUAUUGUGUCUAGCAGCAUCACUAAUGUAGGUCAGAAAAUUAUGCAAAUAAUCCGGAGGCUUAGAAUGAAGCUAAAUUGGACAUAUCUUUAAGAAGCCAAACGCAAUGCAUAACCUCUUGAGCUGUUUGUUGCAGAAGUUAGUUGCAUUGAGUUUUUCUCUUCCUUAGUUUUCAACAUGGUAUCCGAGAUCACGGAUUAGAUCCUGGCUGAAUGGAGGAGGAAGACGACUGAUCUGGAGCGGCAGUUUUCUUAUUUAGGCAACCCUAAAUUGGAGGCAGUUCUUGAUCGAGUCCGGCCUGGAUUUGAAUUGAAAGGGUUGCGGCACUGCUUGCUACCGCUGGAGAUGAUCUGAUGUCCCUGCUGCUACAAGGGAAGGCUUCCUUGGGCUGGAGAUUUGCUGAUGCUGCCGAGAGGCUUCUCUUCUUGCUGGGCACUAGGCGUGGAAUUGCUGUGCGCAAAGGGCCUUGAGGCUGAUGGAGAGAUCACAUUUGACUGGGGGAGAUGGAGCAAGAUGCUGGUUCCUGACAGGUCCUGAUACAAGCUGGGCUGUGUGCAAGCUUGGGUACUUUGGAACGUGCUGCUGCUACUGUUCAACACCACAAGAUGCUGAUUUCAUGAGCUCAGCUUUUCUCAUUUUACCAUUAGUUUUUUUUUUUCUGAUCCAUGGCCUCGGCUGACUGGAGGAUGCAGUACAUCCACGUGGUGACACGUGGCAGAUCUGAGCGAUAGAGGUUUUUUUUCUUUUCUUCCUUAGUUUUCUACAUGGACAACACAAGUAGCCUGUGAAUUAUUUAGGUACAACAGAAGAGGAUCUAGCCCAGCUUGAUUAGAAAUUUCCACUGUUGGAGCCUACAUGAUCUCUUUUUGUUGGAGACACUUCCAAAUGCUGAAUUAAGCCAUACUGACAGUCAUGAAUAGACUCUAGCCACCUGCAACAUAUGUCAAUAAAGCACUUUCUACUGUUGAUGAUUACUUACAUAACAAUGCUGAAUCAAUGGUGCUUGACAUACACCUCAGGAUCUUCAUCUUGCUCCAUGAUCUCAAGUUGUGUGCAGUCGAUGCAUUCUGCAACAUUUGGAAGCUUGCAUGUGAGGAAACCCUGGAUAACCAUAGCUAAAUCUUCCAAGAACUUGAUCAAAAGUCUUCAAGAGUAUCAAUGAUUGCUUUACAAGUCUCAUUCCUAGUCACUGUACUUUCGCCAAUUCUGCAGAGCUCUAAGAGUGUGAUAUACUUGGCUCCACUUCAUAGCUUGUACAAAGUACAACCCAGACUUACACAAAAACUGCUCUACGAUAGUUGAUAUCUUGCUUUAGAAUGUGAUGGUGUAGGAGAUGCACAAUACUAUUAAAUGUUGUCUUUGCCAUGCCAGAGUUUUGCUUCCAACGAGAACAUAGAAGCAUAAGGAAGAAGAUGAAUAACUUGAUGUCCAUGGCUUUCUCAAUGAGAACCUGUAGGAAAAAUCUUUACUCAAGAACAAGAACAAAAGUAUUUCAAAAAGACUAUACCCAAAUGCAAGCUACACAAUCUUACCAUGCCACUUCUGCUACUGCAUCAAGACUGUGAUCUUGGUUGGCCAAGUUGUUGUUUUGUGUUAGCAGCUCGCUCAUCUUCCAUAUGCUGUGUCUCAAACUCCCUCUCCUCAGCUACACAUUAUCUCUCCUUUGCCAAAUGCUACUCCUCAAAUCGUAUAAAAUCUUGGUGCCAAGCACGCUCCUUUAUCUCCAUAUGUUGCUUCAUCCUCAUCUUCUCUGCUUCUCUCAUUUUCUUGUACUUGGCCUGAGUGCUUCCACCAUCAACUCAGUUUUCUUCCUUCCCUUCAGUCUUCAAGAUGAUUUUUGCUAUCUAUCUCUAGUAACAUAGAGUGGAAUCAUCCCAGCUUCAUUGUCUCUAUUACUUCCAUGCAUUGUACCACUUUGCACAUGAUGUUUUAGUGCCAUGUGACUACUUCACACUAGUUCAACUGGCUGCUGUCUAUGAUAUUCAUGGGCUUGAUAUCUAGCCUGAAUAAAGAACUUGCUGUAGCUCGUCAAACAUUUCUCGCGUGAUCCUCAUUUGUAGUUUCUCUGGGAUCAAAGCUUGCUUCCCGUGCACAUUAGGUACUCUUGUUAUAUUUUCUACUCUACUGUUGAGAAGCUUCAGUAAGAUGCACUCCCACUUCUUGGCUAUCGACACCAUCUUUUCUCGUUGAUCUAUGUUCGUUGACUCAUCUUUAAUCUCAUGGAGCUUCACAUUGAUGAGGAGCAUAAUUUCUACAAGAGACCAAUUUGGCAAGUGAUCUCUUGCUAGUAAAGUUCUUGCUUUUGUUAGUGACGGCCUUAGUAGCAGCAACAUGAAGAGAUGGCCUAGACCCGCCAACAGCAAAAGCAACCUCAGUAGCAACAAGAGAAAUUUCUGCCACUGCAAGCUUUUCUAUUACUUUGAAAGUUCUAAAAAUGCUUGUUUACCUCUAAAGUUCUUAUGCUCCUCAUAAAAAUCCUUGGCAAGCACAAGUGCUAGAACUUCCAAGGAAUGUGAAGUGGAAAAAUUGAUAAAUCACUUUUUUACUUAGAAUUCUUGCUGGUAUAGCUGCUCCCAAAUUCUGGCAACAAAUUGAUGCGCUCCCGCUGCAAAGCAAUUCAAUCAAUCCACACUAAGAACUAAGAGCUAGCAUACCCUAGAUCCGGCCAGCAAUUGCUGAGCAGAGUAAAUACCUAAUACUAGCAUUGAAAGAGCCAAGGCACCCCAGACGACAUUGUCAAUGCCAUUGGCAAAUUGCCAAGAUGCCAAGCCCAGUAUGCAGAUGUCUAGCUAAAAAUAUAUGGCACCAUAUGAAUUAAUUUUUUAUUAGUGGCAUAUUUUAUUUAUAAUAUAAAUUCUGAAUAAAUAACAGUCAUUAAUCCCCAGUUAAGUCAUCAGCUUUGAUCCCAGCUAUGUAUGAUUCCUUUUGCUCUUGUGAGCCAUCUAAAUUGCUGAAAAUUGAUGUUUUAUUAGUUCUUAUGUUUAUAUAUGGAUCUGGAAAUAUUGAGAAUCCAAAAGCACCCAAAAAAGGGAAAAUCCUAUUUUAAUAUCCAACUUAUGAUUUGGGGGAUCAAAGGGUUAUUAAAAUAGGAAAGUAUAAAUUAUUUUCCCUUUUUAGGUAUAGAUUAUAUCCAAUGCUUGGAAUAUGGAAAGGGAAUACAGAAAAUGUACAUAUCAAUUAAUAAAAUAUCAAUUUUUAGCAAUUUAGAUGGCUCAUUCUUUCUCUCUCUCAAAGAAGAACAUGUAUCACAUAUUAGUAGGAGCAAAAAAAUAUCACAAAAAUACAUCCACUAUAUUACUUACAAGAGUAACUUCAAUAUUAUACAACAAGUGAAAAAGGUUGAGGACUAAUGUUUACCAUACAUGUGUGACAUAUAUAAUGAUGUACUUUAAAUUCUGUUAAUUCCAUAUCACCAUUUAUACAAUAUUUUCUUGUAGUGUUAAAGUGAUAUAAAAAAUAUAUUUAACUUUUCUUUUACUACAUAGGCUGUGAUAUCUACCAUGGAUCAAGCUUCCAUGAUUAGUCACCUUAAACAGACUUCUACAAGCGUAUUAGAAGAAGAAGUUCAGACUCUUAAACAACUUUACCUAAGAAUAUAAAAUCCAGUUCAAAGAGGAAAGUAUGCCUUUUAUAGCCUUAUUAAACAUAUUAUUCCCCAGGAGCAAUGGAUAUUUCUGCACGCCCACAUUGGCAAGUUGGAUCAAACACAAUCACUUAGCAAGUUGGCCUCAAACACAAUCAUGUUUCUCCAAUAACUACACCAAUAGCACUACUUCUACAACUCCACCAAAAAAAUAUCAAUAGCAUUACCCCUUGAUCUUGCCACUAUGGAGAACAAAACGUGCCAUGAUACUAGUUUAUAUUUUCGAAGCGCAACUACACAUGAAAUUUCGAAAAGUCAACAAUCAUUUUCCAGGAUAUAGCUUUCCAACAUCAAUCGGCGCUGGUGGUGAUUGCAUGGCAGCGAAAAGUUUGGCCCAGGCAAUUCGAAUCUCGGACAAAAUUGCCGCAAGGUCCACGAACACAAACUCGAGCAAGGUCUGUAGGAACCAAUGUAGGAUCUUCUUAGCAGCGGUCGGCCAUGUCCGAGACUACCUCAAGCGAAUCCAGGAUCUCAACUUCGCGAGCACUGGGACAGCUUUCGUGUGGGACGAAACCGUGGCUGUCCUUAAGAGAGGCCUCCAUCUCCUCAAGUCGUGCCAAGAAUGCAAUUGGAUGGCGCGGAGCCUGCU